rnacentral:rRNA from 1 species
UACGAAGGGGGCUAGCGUUGUUCGGAAUUACUGGGCGUAAAGCGCACGUAGGCGGAUCGAUCAGUCAGGGGGUGAAAUCCCAGAGCUCAACUCUGGAACUGCCUUUGAUACUGUCGAUCUAGAGUAUGGAAGAGGUGAGUGGAAUUCCGAGUGUAGAGGUGAAAUUCGUAGAUAUUCGGAGGAACACCAGUGGCGAAGGCGGCUCACUGGUCCAUUACUGACGCUGAGGUGCGAAAAGCGUGGGGAGCAAACAGG